ACCCUCCGCCGGCGCCACCUCCAGCCUGGCCCGCCCCGCGCCGCCCGCUGCGUGCCCCCGCCGCGCUGGCAAAGGACCUCGAGGCCUGCUGCCCCGCCCGGCGCACCCACCUCGCUCGAGGUUGGGCGAGCGCAGAAGCAGAGUUCGGGACGGCGGAUCGGAAUUCAUUGACUGGUUCUCUCUUUCUCUCCUCUCCCUUCGAUCCGUGGAGGUGGUGGAUCAAUCUUGCCUUCGUGGCGGCGGCGGAACGAGCUCCAUGAGAUCAGAUUCCUCCUGGUGUUUGGGACGUUUCGGCUGGUUUGAUUUACUAGCUAUGUCCAAGCUGGGCACUGGAUUGAUUUCACCAAUCCAAGCUAGCUGACUUACUAGCUACAUCCCAAGCAGGCCAAUCCAAUAUGUUGAUCGAUUUGAUUGUUCCGGCUGGAAAGUAACACAUCUGGAGGUCAGGAGGUGCGUCGUUCACCGGAGUUCUACAAUUAGGUAUGCUUACUACUGGGAAGCUACCCUUCCUGGAUAACUAUUUUAGUAUCUGUUUUUAUUUACUGAUGAUGAGAACUAAAUAAAUUGGCUAUUGUCAUGUUCCUCCCUUAAAAAAAAGAUUCUGGUAGAUGUGCUUCACAAUAAUAAUGGUAAUACCUAAAGGAGUUCUUGCUGCAAGUUAGCGCAUAUAUAUAUUCUUAGGUACCACGUACCUGCGUUACUGGUUUGCGUUAAGGAUUUCGCUACUGUCGCCAAGGUAUCUACAGAAUUACAAAUAUGACGCAACAUGAUUUUGCUAAUGUCGGUUACAAAUAUGAUGCAACAUAAUUUUGCUAAUGUUGGUUACAAAUAUGAUGCAACAUAAUUUACUUAGGCUUAAGUAUAUGAGCAAAUAGUUGGAGAGCUACGAACUAAAGAAAUAUCACACUCUACAAUUCUUGUCUAACUGAACCAAGUUCAGUUUUGAGUAUAGAGAAAUGUAAUAGAGCAACCAUUUCAAAGCUGCAUCUAAUUUAAGAAAGUGAUGAGAUGAAUGUAGGGCAUGCUUAUCGAAUGUAAAUGGACACAGUAUUCAGCCCUUACAACAGGAUUAUAGAAGCCUAGACCUUACUUAUUCAAUUAUAUGGUAUGUGCAACAGAGGAACUUGAUGCAACAGACCACCCUCCAUUUACAAACCUUUGGAUGCAGCAUUAGAAAUUGUGCCAUAUGUAAUGGCAAUGCAUUUCUUCCGUUUUGGAUCACAGGAUUUGCAAAACAAAGGAAUAGGGAAAAUGGAGGAUUUGACUGCCAUGACAUAGCCAAUCCUAUGGAAUGCAAAUCCAGAGGAACUGGUAACAAAGUGCCUUUGGCUGCAUCAUAGGAGACGUACAGGAAUCCUAUACAAUAAAGUAUUAUUAUUUCUAUUUGUAAGUCUGAUGUUUUUCAAACUUCCAACGGCUAGUGCAGUCAACUGCCUGAAGUAGCCGUUAGCAGCAAGUGCCUAUAUAACCUGAUGCUACUCUCUACAACGGAUAGCUCUUUUCCCUGCCCACAGCAUUUGCUGCCUGUGCUCUAUUCUUUCAUCUUCCCCUUGCUGCCUGUGCUCUAUGCUUUCAUCUUCCCCUUGCUGAAGAAACCAACAAGGUUAGUGCUUAUCUCCUAUAGCAAAAUCAUACUUCCAUGCUAUUCAAUAUAUCACAAUCACAUAUUUUUUUACUGUUUCAUUCAACUCCUUUUCAGCAUAUUUGGCUCAUUUGUUGCUGCACACCAUGAAUCCAAGCUACCGUCGUAGAUCAGAAAGUGACUAUGAAUUUAUUCAUUUUGUACUUCCUACUUUAGAAGAUGCAUCACAAUCUUCUUCUAGUAAGAAACCAAUGCAUACAUCAAAACUUUCGGGGGCUUGGCGUGUUCAGGAGAUUUUAACAGGGCAUGAAAGCUUAUGCAAAAGGACUUUCCGCAUGGAAGUGGACAUUUUUCAAGCACUUGUUGACAAGUUGCGUGAGAAAAAACUCCUUGCUGAUUCAAAAGUACUAGCAGUAGAAGAGCAAGUGGCAAUAUUUUUGUAUGCAGUAUCCAAAAAUGCAACAAAUGAAACCCUACAGGAUUGGUUUCAGCAUAGUGCAGAACCAAUAAGCCGGCGAUUUGGAUUAGUGCUUGAUGCGAUCACACGGCUCACAAAUGUCUAUAUACGUCCACCUUCCCUCAACCCACAUCCAAUCUUGAGCAAACCACAAUUUUACCCUUUCUUUCAGAAUUGCAUUGGUGCUAUAGACGGAACCCAUAUUCCUAUGUUCCUAUCACCAGGCCAACAAGAACCAUACCGGAACAGGAAGCAAACGCUCUCACAAAAUGUCAUGGUUGCUUGUGACUUCGACUUAAAAUUUGUGCAUGUACAUGCUGGGUGGGAAGGAUCAGCUUCUGAUGCAAGAGUUCUACAAGAUGCACUAAAUCAUGGUUUCAUGUACCUCAUGGUAAA